AUGAUCAGGAGAUCAUUGAUCCUGCCAGCUCGGUCAGAAGAAUUCGAGAAGAUCUUGCGCUGCUGGAUAUACCCGGACAGGCUUUCAUACCAUGGUUGGCGACCUUCAGAGGGAAACUACAUCAAGAUCAACACAGAUGCAGCGAUCCAUCGAGACACAGACACUGCAGGCAUUGAAGGCCUAGCCCGUUCUUCCUCGGCAUUCUUGGGUGCAUGGUGCAAACCCCAUCUAGGGGUCACUGAUCCGUUCAUUGCUGAGGUGCUCUCCAUUCGAGAGGGUACCAUCUUCGCCCGUCUCCGCGGCUACACGCACGUGCAACUGGAAUCCGACUGUCUAGAGGCAGUUGACCUCUGGAACUCUGGCUACACCGAUCGCUCGGUCGUAGCACCCAUUCUAGCUGAAAUUAGAGAGCUUUCUGAUAGUUUUUCUUCAUUCAGUAUUACUCAUGUAACUCGAUCCGCUAACGGUCCCGCACAUUUGUGUGCUAAGCGUGCAUGUACGCUGAAUGGGACUGAAAGCUGGCUGGACACCAUUCCUAGCUUCCUGGUCAGCAACCUUCUGGCUGACUGCCCAGCGAAUGCCUUCGUUUAA
rnacentral:rRNA from 1 species